AGGGUGACAGCCCCGUACACAAAAAUGCACAUGCUGUGAGCUCGAUGAGUAGGGCGGGACACGUGGUAUCCUGUCUGAAUAUGGGGGGACCAUCCUCCAAGGCUAAAUACUCCUGACUGACCGAUAGUGAACCAGUACCGUGAGGGAAAGGCGAAAAGAACCCCGGCGAGGGGAGUGAAAAAGAACCUGAAACCGUGUACGUACAAGCAGUGGGAGCACGCUUAGGCGUGUGACUGCGUACCUUUUGUAUAAUGGGUCAGCGACUUAUAUUCUGUAGCAAGGUUAACCGAAUAGGGGAGCCGAAGGGAAACCGAGUCUUAACUGGGCGUUAAGUUGCAGGGUAUAGACCCGAAACCCGGUGAUCUAGCCAUGGGCAGGUUGAAGGUUGGGUAACACUAACUGGAGGACCGAACCGACUAAUGUUGAAAAAUUAGCGGAUGACUUGUGGCUGGGGGUGAAAGGCCAAUCAAACCGGGAGAUAGCUGGUUCUCCCCGAAAGCUAUUUAGGUAGCGCCUCGUGAAUUCAUCUCCGGGGGUAGAGCACUGUUUCGGCAAGGGGGUCAUCCCGACUUACCAACCCGAUGCAAACUG
rnacentral:rRNA from 1 species